CCUGCUCAGGGCUAGUCAGGACCUUUUUUGCUGCUGUGCUUCCCUGGGAGGAAGCACAGUCCGGGAGGAGAGCUGGUCUGGUCUUCUGCUGUGUUUCCCACCCUAUGAAGCCAGAUUCAAAUCCUCCGGACUGCUUUCAAGAGUCACGUAGGAGCGGAGGUGGAUUUCCUUCCUGGAGACGUCAAGCCAGUUCUGGAGGGAGUGAGUUCCACAACCCAGGGGCAACAACGGAGAAGGCCUGGGAGUUCCAUUGGCUCAGAGACAGGGCAUCUGCCUGGCGUGCAGGCAGGAGGUCCCGGGUUCAACUCCUGGCAGCAUCUCUAGAAGAGCCCUGCUGGAGAAAAAGUUGGCGAUAGCCCUGGUGCUUACUUGCAAGUCGCUCUGGAGAGAGCGGAAACAGGCUGAUGGCAAAGCAACAGAGCUGAAAGAUGCUAUGUACAAGGUGCACCAAUUAAUUAACUCAUCCCCAAGUGAAGGUUCUGAACUGUUUUGUAAUAGUAUAGUCAGGUCCAGAUUAUGACAUGCUAAGCUCAAAAGGCCCCAUUGCAUUACCAAAAGAAAUUUCGUUAUUCUAACAAAAAGGGCAAUGAACAUAGAAAUAAUAAAGUUUUAUUUUUCACUUGG